rnacentral:rRNA from 1 species
AGCGAACGCUGGCGGCAGGCUUAACACAUGCAAGUCGAGCGCCUGUAGCAAUACAGGAGCGGCAGACGGGAGAGUAACACGUGGGAAUAUGCCCUUCGGUUCGGAAUAACUCAGGGAAACUUGAGCUAAUACCGGAUACGCCCUUACGGGGAAAGAUUUAUUGCCGAAAGAUUAGCCCGCGUCCGAUUAGCUAGUUGGUGAGGUAACGGCUCACCAAGGCGACGAUCGGUAGCUGGUCUGGGAGGAGGAUCAGCCUCAGUAGGACUGAGACACGGCCCAAACUCCUGCGGGAGGCAGCAGUGGGGAAUAUUGGACAAUGGGCGCAAGCCUGUGCCAGCCAUGCCGCGUGGGUGAUGAAGGCCCUAGGGCUGUAAAGCCCUUUCGGCGGGGAAGAUAAUGACGGUACCCGCAGAAGAAGCCCCGGCUAACUUCGUGCCAGCCGCCGCCGUAA